UGCCUGGGCAUGUCAUUCCCUGUCAGCUCGGCAACGCUCUCUUUAUUCGUCACACUUUUGAGCAGAGAUCUGAAAGAGUUUUCCUUUCUCGGCACGAUUGUCUCUGACAGAGGUGGGCAGAAUGUAGUCUCAGAAAGGUGGAGGUGUCUCUCAAUUUCAAUGAGAGGUAUCUCUGUGUGCAGACCACAGAUUUUUGAGAGAUGAUUCUGUCUGAGAACAGCUGAUGGGAACAACAGAGAUUGGGGUUAACUGCUCGGAGAAGUGACCAAGGAGAUCUGGCGCUGCUGAUAAAUAAAAGGAUGGAGGCCAAAGAGUUCGGGAGCUUUUGGACAUCCAGAUUGCUUGGCUGACGGUUCUUCAAAGAUCCUGAUCCAGGAUCCUGAUCUUCACUUUAUUCACUUAUGCUCGAUAAAUAAAUUGAUUGAUUUUGA